UGUGCUUCGUUUUUACUUAUAUUGCGAGCAACUUCUUUAUUUUUUAUGCAUUUGGGCAAUAUAAUUAGUCUGAAAUAAUAUAUGCAAAUAAUCUUCAUAUACCAAUGGAAAACAGAUGCAGAAUUUGCGGCUUUAUGGACCCAGAUUUUGAAAGUUGUGACGAUUUGUGUAAUAAUUAUUAUCCGCGUGAAUUUAGAGGUACUUUAGAAAUAGCGUUAGAUCAAAUUUGAAUACUAAUCAUCACGUUGAACGCCAGGAGCGAAAUCCAAACCAUGGCCACUUCUCGGGCUUUGAUAUAGAAGCUUUGCACCCAGAUUGGCUGUGUGAAGAAUUGAAGAGGCUGUUCCCUGCAGACUCUCACCCAGCUCGACCAUCUUCAUUCAACACCCCAGGUUUCGGGAAGGUCCAUCUAGUCAAGAAGAGGUGAGGGAGCGAUCAAGGAUGGCUCUGCGCCAUGAAUGGAGGACAGGAAGAUGUACGAGCACACCAUGACAGAGUGCCGCGUGUCAGAGGAUGUAGGUGACAGCCUGUUCUUGGUGAAGGCACACUACACCUUCCAGACGGAUUCUGACCUGCACCUGAUAAUGGGCAGUUGACUGGUGGAGUCUGGGUAUCAUCUUGUACGAGAUGCUCACAGGAUUCACGCCAUUUUAAGCAGAGGGUGACGUGUAUGACAACUUUGUGGAGCUCUGUGAGU